CACUGUCCUGCAGGUUGAGACUUCUGUGGAAAGGUGAACAGGGACUAGAAAAGCAGUCAGUCCCGCUCAGAGGAUUGCACGAGAGAGGCACAAAAAAGAACCACAUUCAGGAGGAUGAUUAACUUUACCCUGAAGAAUAAACAGCCUCAUUCACAUGACAGAGAGAGACAAGCAGCAACCACUAUGACCGUGACUUCCUCCCAGGGCUCUGAGAUCUGGACCGGGAACCUUAGAGUGAAGAGAACAGCAUCAGGAGUCUUUGCAUGUGCAAGUAGUAAACAUGGAAGCCUUUGCUUUCUGUGAGUCUACUUCAGGGCCCCACAAUUGUUUUGAGUCAUCUGUAAAUACACACCUUUUAACUCUCGACUCACUAAUUCAAACCUGUAAGCUUCUUAUUUUAAGAAAGUAUGGCUUUUUCAUUUUUU